rnacentral:rRNA from 1 species
GGUGAACGCUGGCGGCGUGCCUAAGACAUGCAAGUCGAGCGGGGCAGGUUUAUACCUGUUCAGCGGCGGACGGGUGAGUAACGCGUGGGUGACCUACCCGGAAGAGGCGGACAACCUGGGGAAACCCAGGCUAAUCCGCCAUGUGGUCCUGUCCUGUGGGGCAGGACUAAAGGGUGGAUAGCCCGCUUCCGGAUGGGCCCGCGUCCCAUCAGCUAGUUGGUGGGGUAAAGGCCCACCAAGGCGACGACGGGUAGCCGGUCUGAGAGGAUGGCCGGCCACAGGGGCACUCAGACACGGGCCCCACUCCUACGGGAGGCAGCAGUUAGGAAUCUUCCGCAAUGGGCGCAAGCCUGACGGAGCGACGCCGCUUGGAGGAGGAAGCCCUUCGGGGUGUAAACUCCUGAACUGGGGACGAAAGCCCCGUGUAGGGGGAUGACGGUACCCAGGUAAUAGCGCCGGCCAACUCCGUG